GUCGAACGGAACUGUUUUGAAAGAUUUCUUCGGAAUGAAUUUGAUUUAGUUUAGUGGCGGACGGGUGAGUAACGCGUGAGUAACCUGCCUUCAAGAGGGGGAUAACAUUCUGAAAAGAAUGCUAAUACCGCAUGACAUAUCGGAAUCACAUGGUUUUGAUAUCAAAGAUUUUAUCGCUUGAAGAUGGACUCGCGUCCGAUUAGUUAGUUGGUGAGGUAACGGCUCACCAAGACCGCGAUCGGUAGCCGGACUGAGAGGUUGAACGGCCACAUUGGGACUGAGACACGGCCCAGACUCCUACGGGAGGCAGCAGUGGGGGAUAUUGCGCAAUGGGGGCAACCCUGACGCAGCAACGCCGCGUGAAGGAUAAAGGUUUUCGGAUUGUAAACUUCUUUUAUUAAGGACGAAAAAUGACGGUACUUAAUGAAUAAGCUCCGGCUAACUACGUGCCAGCAGCCGCGGUAAUACGUAGGGAGCAAGCGUUGUCCGGAUUUACUGGGUGUAAAGGGUGCGUAGGCGGCUUUGCAAGUCAGAUGUGAAAUCUAUGGGCUCAACCCAUAAACUGCAUUUGAAACUGUAGAGCUUGAGUGAAGUAGAGGCAGGCGGAAUUCCCCGUGUAGCGGUGAAAUGCGUAGAGAUGGGGAGGAACACCAGUGGCGAAGGCGGCCUGCUGGGCUUUAACUGACGCUGAGGCACGAAAGCGUGGGUAGCAAACAGGAUUAGAUACCCUGGUAGUC
rnacentral:rRNA from 1 species